UCUACUUUCCAAACACAAAAAAUCAACCAAUACAGCAGACAUUAAAGCUACAUGUUGGGUUGAAAGAUUUGAGAUGGUGGAAUACAUAACUCUUUAGUAAAAUGAAGUGACCUUGAAUGAAAAAUAAGAAAGAAAAUGGAUUUGGAUAACAGUCUCCAGCACAAGGUUCCACCAUACUCCUCUAAACAGUAGAAUGCCCAAUUAAUAUCUGCAUUCUGUGCCUACCAGACUUCUGCCACUCGCUCAAAAUCAUCUAAAGGCUAGUAUGCAACUUUGACAACCUCCAGGUUACCCAUAGUUCACAAGAAUAUUCCCAUUACUUUUUAUUAUUUUAUUCUUUUUUGAAAAAAACUAUUAUUAUUUCGAAAAAGAGAUAUAAACUGGACUUCAAGGAACUACUUCCAGGCUGAACUGACAGCAGCGCGUGCUCGAGCCUCCACGCAGGAAAUACAUCGCCAUGAAAAACAAAAAUCGACGUGGUCUUAUCCGUGGCAUAGACCCACGCCACGUCACGCGCCACGCUGUCCACACGAUGCCCAGUUGCGCAGCGGGUCUCGGAGGUUGCUCCUUUUCGUGGCUGCAUUUGUUGUUCCUGCACAGCCGAGCCCAUGGCUCACCAUGUCCCGUCGUCGCACCACUCUGCAGCAGCGCUGUAGACUGACGACGAAGCGGCCACUUUGGGCGGUGGAGUUUUGACGGUCCGGACCCACUGCAUUGCCGAAAGCCCCAUCUAAGAUCGUAAUAAAUGAUUUAAACCCCUUUUGCGCCAGUUAGAGUGUGCCGUGGUUUCCAUCCUUUUGGUGUUGCAUUGCACUUGGGCUUUCCUUGGCCGGCCGACGCCGACCACGACAUCUCGGACCCUGAAAAGAAUGUUGUAUCCGUGCAGGGGAAGCACAAUGUGAGGGAAGAGAAGUGUUGUGUGUUGGAUUGUCCUUUGCUGUAAACGAAGGCUAUGAAUGCGGACAACAGGAAUAUUUGAAUAGAACCGACUUUGAAGCACGCUCCAAUCAUACAGAGCACAAUUCUCCAGGUGGGGUAGUACGCGUGGCAAGCAAGUCUCCACCAUCCUGUCGGGAUAAAGAAGCAAACUGCACCACUCAUGAGAUGUUCCUUGAAUCAAGCUCCAGCGUUUGGACACACACUGUCUGCUGGCCAAUGAAAACCUCGUCGUACGAUGGUUAUAGAUUUUUGGGCGACGGAAGUCUUGGUAUUGAAAAUAACCAAUGUUUUCGGUUCAAAAUGUGUGGAUACAUAUAUGGAUGGCAAGUAAACAUUCCGAGAGAAUGAAAAUUGAAUGUUCUCUAGUCGCCGUGACGAUGAAAGUUUUAAUUCAAUAUGUUAACUAUUCAGCGCUGGUUUUCGUCUGAGUUCUUUUUUGUGAUGUACAUUGCACACAGAAAAUGUCAGAUUGUAACUAGUAUACUGAUGUGGACGACAGUGUUGCCAGAAAGCCGGUGACGAGUGUGGCAAAGCUCAAUCGUCGCAGAUCUAAUUCUUCGGUAAACGGCACAAUGGUCAUGACGGCAUUUUCUUUCCUACUUGUUUAUCCGUCCGCAAAUGCUAGCCGAAAAUUUCGCAAAGCGUGAUUUGACUUCAAGAGUCGAAAGGCAGUCCAUUGAACUUGUGCGAAUCAACCGGAAAGACAGAUAAGGUUGACAUGCAGAAGCUGGAACCCGUGCAAAUUAACGUUACAGUUCGUUUGCGGCAAGGUGGAGCGCUGCGUGUGAGUCUAUGGAGUGCGCGAAGCAUGUAGCACUUAAACUGAGUUAUGCAAGGCACUGGAUUGAAAUUUUAUCGAGGAAAUGACCACAGGAAUGUAUUUCAUAAAGCAUUCCACAAACUUAAGAAAAUAGGCGUCACGGUCUUGGUCUGACCCUGGAAAGCGGAGGUCUGGCAAUCCUAAGGCGCAAGGAGCGGAUAGUACUCGAGGAAAUUCUGUUUCUCAUAAUCUCACACAAGGUAAACCAAUAUCAUCAUCCCUUUGCAGACCCUCUCGUAUUCAUUGAAGUACUCACCCCUUCUAACAAAGGCAUAUCAAAAUCAUACUGAAUAAUUCCAUUGCUUAAUUUAUGCAGCCAUGAGACUCAUUUUGCCAAAGGUGUCUCACGGUAGGCCAUUUUUCUGAGAGAUUUCAUUGCAUUUCCAGUUCAAUCGCAAAUAUAUUAUAUUACAUGGAGAACUCAAAGUCCUCAGGAAGUCUUAGUCCAUGAACCUUAGUGCCGUUAAAGAAGAUUCUGCGAUAACUGAUGAAGAGGCCCAUGAAGAAGAGAAACCGAUUGAUUAUUUAUCAUCUAAUGGGCUGGUCUUGAAUUUGUUGAGGCAUGCUGGUGAUGUUACAGCGACCUAUGAGAAAAUUAGAAAAAGUCUCCAAACAGAAUGGAAAAAGGUAGUCGUCGAAGUCCUGUCGGGCAACUCAGAGAUCCAAGAAGCUACCCCUCGAAUGUGCUCACACGAACACACACAACGUCGGGGAGGUCUUGAUAAUUGCACUUAUCAAUUCACAGAUUUAGACGCCCUGGUGAAACCGACGGAUGCAUUUGCCCAAAUCAACCUGCAAAAACGAUGCGGCAUAGAGUUUCUGACAUGCUUGUGAUACGAGAGCUCCUUUGAUUAUCACGCAAUAUGUUGCUAUAUGGGUUGUAUAAUGAAGACGUUGCUUCUGAGUCAAUUAUCGUCGUUAGUUUUCAACGCAUUGUCACAUGUUCCAAAAAAUAGAACAUGAAACUAAAUACAUAUGUCUCUUUCCUUUCCGAGAUUUAUUAGGUGAUCUUUCCUGUUCCAUAAAUACAUUGUGGAGCCGCUUUCCUAGAAGUGUUUUCUAGCAUCCGAGGAAACGGAGGAUCAAAGGAUCAACCCAGUUAUUCAGUAUAGAAUAACAUUGUAGUUCAAAUCGAGCUGGCCCGCAGACAACGUACACAGUUGUAUGCGAAAUAAGGAAAUGGAGGGAGCAUGUGUCCAUCCACCCAAAACAUUUUCUUUAA